GAACUGAAGAGUUUGAUCCUGGCUCAGAUUGAACGCUGGCGGCAUGCCUUACACAUGCAAGUCGAACGGCAGCACGGGGGCAACCCUGGUGGCGAGUGGCGAACGGGUGAGUAAUACAUCGGAACGUGUCCUGUAGUGGGGGAUAGCCCGGCGAAAGCCGGAUUAAUACCGCAUACGCUCUGCGGAGGAAAGCGGGGGCUCCUUCGGGACCUCGCGCUACAGGGGCGGCCGAUGGCAGAUUAGCUAGUUGGUGGGGUAAAGGCCUACCAAGGCGACGAUCUGUAGCUGGUCUGAGAGGACGACCAGCCACACUGGGACUGAGACACGGCCCAGACUCCUACGGGAGGCAGCAGUGGGGAAUUUUGGACAAUGGGCGCAAGCCUGAUCCAGCAAUGCCGCGUGUGUGAAGAAGGCCUUCGGGUUGUAAAGCACUUUUGUCCGGAAAGAAAACCUCAGCCCUAAUACGGCGGGGGGAUGACGGUACCGGAAGAAUAAGCACCGGCUAACUACGUGCCAGCAGCCGCGGUAAUACGUAGGGUGCAAGCGUUAAUCGGAAUUACUGGGCGUAAAGCGUGCGCAGGCGGUCCGCUAAGACAGAUGUGAAAUCCCCGGGCUUAACCUGGGAACUGCAUUUGUGACUGGCGGGCUAGAGUAUGGCAGAGGGGGGUAGAAUUCCACGUGUAGCAGUGAAAUGCGUAGAGAUGUGGAGGAAUACCGAUGGCGAAGGCAGCCCCCUGGGCCAAUACUGACGCUCAUGCACGAAAGCGUGGGGAGCAAACAGGAUUAGAUACCCUGGUAGUCCACGCCCUAAACGAUGUCAACUAGUUGUCGGGCCUUCAUUGGCUUGGUAACGUAGCUAACGCGUGAAGUUGACCGCCUGGGGAGUACGGUCGCAAGAUUAAAACUCAAAGGAAUUGACGGGGACCCGCACAAGCGGUGGAUGAUGUGGAUUAAUUCGAUGCAACGCGAAAAACCUUACCUACCCUUGACAUGUACGGAAUCCUGCUGAGAGG
rnacentral:ncRNA from 1 species